UUUUAACCAUCCUUGUAUCGUGACAUGCAAUUGAAAGUUUCUCAGGCAACCAAAAGAUUAGUGAGAAAAGGCAAGAAAUUAAUCAGUUGGAUGCAGGUCAUAAAUUGAAAUGAAGUUACAUAUGCAGUGAAGAACGUAAUUCAACCUAUAUAUGUGUUCUCAAUGCUCUCUUAAGAAUUUCCCAGUUAUUGGUUUCCCUUCGUACAACUAGGCUUUGCUUCAUCUUGAUUGGCUAUGACAAUUCUACAUUUUUUCAACACAUAAUAUUAAUAUAGUUGUCGCAAGAAUGUCCCUUAAUUAACAGAAGAAUCAAUUUGUGAACGUAACUAAUUGUCUCAGCAUGUACCUAAUUCAACUACUGGUCUCACAUCUGCUUUAACAAUAUGUCCAUCCAUCUGAACAAUAUCCAAUCUCUAGGAGGACAUCAAUUGGCUUGUCUCUUUGGUAGACAUUGCACAAUGGGUACGGAACAUCACUACCCAACAUUUUGUUGAUUAGUCACAAGGCAAGACCAUGUGAAGUCCACAUAGCCUCUCUCCAAAGCAGACUCUAACUAACCAUUUCCACCACUCUGUACAUAUGAAUUCAUCUAUAUAAAUCCACACACCAGGCUCAGGUACCUAGCAACCAAAGUCAGCAAACAACAAACCAUCCUCCUUGAGUUCUUUUUCUUGAUCCUCUUCUACAGAUCCAUCAUCAAAAGAAAUAUCAUGGCUAGAAAUCUGGCUAUUGUUCUUGCCAAGCAAAUCAUGCACCGAUCUGCAUUAGCUGCAAACAAAGCAACUUCAAGAUCUUCAAGUAGACCUAAAGGUUACUUAGCAGCGUAUGUCGGUGAGACAGAAGAGAAGAGAUUUGUAGUGCCAAUAUCCUUUCUGAAGGAGCCUUCAUUUCAAGACUUGCUAAAUAAAGCAGAAGAGGAGCAUGGUUUUGAUCAUCCAAUGGGCGGUUUGACAAUUUCCUGCAGGGAAGAAACUUUUAUUGAUGUCACUUCUAGCUUGAGUAGAUCACAAGGGAAGGCAUAUUAAUCUGAUCUCAGAAAACAAUUUUGUGAGGCAGUAAUGGCCAUGUCAAUGUAAAUACUUUCUUUGCUAUAGAAUGAAAAUGAUCGUCACAUUAUACAUAUGUGUGUGUGCAAUUUUACACUUUUUUUUCUUGUCUCCCCUCUUUUGUUAACAGGGAAUUGAAAUAUAAAACUGUAAUAUACAAAAUGAUUGAGUAGACAAUUUCGUAUUGAAAAUUAUUACACCAAACUAUAUGUAUAGUAGGUCAUUGUUUGUGUCCCUGCCUUGCUAAAG
rnacentral:misc_RNA from 1 species